rnacentral:rRNA from 1 species
CCUACGGGAGGCAGCAGUGAGGAAUAUUGGUCAAUGGGCGAGAGCCUGAACCAGCCAAGUCGCGUGAGGGAAGACGGUCCUAUGGAUUGUAAACCUCUUUUGUCGGGGAGCAAAGGACGGGAGUUGUCGACUCUGAGAGUACCCGAAGAAAAAGCAUCGGCUAACUCCGUGCCAGCAGCCGCGGUAAUACGGAGGAUGCGAGCGUUAUCCGGAUUGAUUGGGUUUAAGGGGGGCGUAGGCGGAAGAUUAAGUCAGUGGUAAAAUUGUGGGGCUCAACCUCGUACUGCCAUUGAAACUGGAGAUCUGGAGUGGGCGAGAGGUAUGCGGAAUGCGUGGUGUAGCGGUGAAAUGCAUAGAUAUCACGCAGAACCCCGAUUGCGAAGGCAGCAUACCGGCGCACAACUGACGCUGAGGCACGAAGGCGUGGGUAUCGAACAGGAUUAGAUACCCGUGUAGUC